GGCCCGGUUGGACGGUCGGCUCUAGGGUUUGUACUGUCCUGACUGGGUCUUACCUUCUAGCAAGCUGUCGUGUUGUUCACUCAGUGCGGCAGGGAGCUAGGACUUUUACUUUGAAAAAAUUAGAGUGUUUAAAGCAGGCAUCCGCUUGAAUACAUUAGCAUGGAAUAAUAGAAUAGGACUAUGGUUCUAUUUUGUUGGUUUCUAGGACCAGGGUA
rnacentral:rRNA from 1 species